rnacentral:rRNA from 1 species
CAGCCGCGCGGGAAUACGGAGGGUGCAAGCGUUAAUCGGAAUUACUGGGCGUAAAGCGCACGCAGGCGGUCUGUCAAGUCAGAUGUGAAAUCCCCGGGCUUAACCUGGGAACUGCAUUUGAAACUGGCAGGCUAGAGUCUUGUAGAGGGGGGUAGAAUUCCAGGUGUAGCGGUGAAAUGCGUAGAGAUCUGGAGGAAUACCGGUGGCGAAGGCGGCCCCCUGGACAAAGACUGACGCUCAGGUGCGAAAGCGUGGGGAGCAAACAGGAUUAGAUACCCCAGUAGUCCCUGUCUCUUAUACA